UAGGCUAUAGGUAUAAGGGUGGUAACAUCGAAGCCGAGUAGUACUAAUUGCCCGUAAGCUUUAUUUUU
rnacentral:rRNA from 1 species